rnacentral:rRNA from 1 species
UUUUCCUACGGGAGGCAGCAGUGAGGAAUAUUGGUCAAUGAGCGAGAGCCUGAACCAGCCAAGUCGCGUGAGGGAAGACGGUCCUAUGGAUUGUAAACCUCUUUUGCCGGGGAGCAAGGGCGGGGACGUGUCCCGGCCCGGAGAGUACCCGGGGAAAAAGCAUCGGCUAACUCCGUGCCAGCAGCCGCGGUAAUACGGAGGAUGCGAGCGUUAUCCGGAUUUAUUGGGUUUAAAGGGCGCGUAGGCGGGCUUUUAAGUCAGCGGUAAAAAUUCGGGGCUCAACCCCGUCCGGCCGUUGAAACUGG